AACGAACGCUGGCGGCAUGCCUAACACAUGCAAGUCGAACGAGACCUUCGGGUCUAGUGGCGCACGGGUGCGUAACGCGUGGGAACCUGCCCUUAGGUUCGGAAUAACUCCCCGAAAGGGGUGCUAAUACCGGAUAAUGUCUUCGGACCAAAGAUUUAUCGCCUUUGGAUGGGCCCGCGUUGGAUUAGCUAGGUGGUAGGGUAAAAGCCUAUCAAGGCGACGAUCCAUAGCUGGUCUGAGAGGAUGAUCAGCCACACUGGGACUGAGAAACGGCCCAGACUCCUACGGGAGGCAGCAGUGGGGAAUAUUGGAAAGUGGGCGAAAGCAUGAACCAGCAAUGCCGCGUGAGUGAUGAAGGCCUUAGGGUUGUAAAGCUCUUUUACCCGGGAUGAUAAUGACAGUACCGGGAGAAUAAGCUCCGGCUAACUCCGUG
rnacentral:rRNA from 1 species